GAGUUUGAUCCUGGCUCAGAUUGAACGCUGGCGGCAUGCCCUACACAUGCAAGUCGAACGGCAGCACGGGAGCUUGCUCCUGGUGGCGAGUGGCGAACGGGUGAGUAAUGCAUCGGAACGUAUCCUGGAGUGGGGGAUAACGUAGCGAAAGUUACGCUAAUACCGCAUAUUCUGUGAGCAGGAAAGCGGGGGACCUUCGGGCCUCGCGCUCUUGGAGCGGCCGAUGUCGGAUUAGCUAGUUGGUGAGGUAAAGGCUCACCAUGGCGACGAUCCGUAGCAGGUCUGAGAGGAUGAUCUGCCACACUGGAACUGAGACACGGUCCAGACUCCUACGGGAGGCAGCAGUGGGGAAUUUUGGACAAUGGGGGCAACCCUGAUCCAGCCAUGCCGCGUGAGUGAAGAAGGCCU
rnacentral:rRNA from 1 species